CUAACAGGCGCGGGCAUUCUCAGUCUUCUUUCAACUCACGCGAUAGCUUGCGGGGGCAAAAAUGACGAAUGUGAUCGAGCGACGUGUACAGACUGAGAGCGUGCGAUCAAGAGCAGUGUAGCACCACUAACAGCACGGACGGUGCUGUUAUGGCGCAAAAGGCAUACGAGAGCCAGAGAGCAACCAUUCCAAUUAGAUGUAGCCGCUGCUCUGUUAUUACUGGACUCAUGUACCUGUGUGGGUCAAGUUCAAAUUGGAGUUGAAACAUCUCGUGUUUUCUGAUUUGAAGCGAAACUCAUUUGAAGAGCACAAACUAAAGUACCUCAUAAAAACAUGCUCUACGAAUUGUUAACAAAUUGUAAUAUUUUUUUAUUUAUUGAUUAACAUUUGAACACACUUAUAACUAUUCAUAACAAUUGAAGUAGAACAUAAUAAUGGUAUAGAUAAAUAAAACAUGAUGUACGCCCA